UAUUUAUUUCCAUAUAUACACUGCAGAUACCCAAGUUACCUUCAGAAUAAUACAGAAAAAAGAAACAAGGAUAACUUGAAAUGAGAACAUAAAUUGUAGUUGUGUACACUGCUCUUCUGCAACUCAUCCCCACACAGCAUUAGUUGUAUGGCUUCCCCUCCCCCCCAACACAUUGCCCCCCAAGCUUUCUUAAAUGUAAUAAUUUCUUUCCUAAAUGAGGCUGAUGUCUGAUCUGUCGUGCUGCUAAAUCCUCUUACACCCGGUAAGUAUAUCCAACCUGUUUAUCUGAAGGUUGGCCAGCUGUCCUUAGUGGGGGGGCUGGGGACCUUGUCCAUGUCAAGCUGAGAUGCCCCCCCCACAAGGCCCAGGACCCAAGACAUUAAACCACACGUGCCUCUAAUCCUUUAAGUAUGGGCAGUGCUACUGUACAAUGCAACACUUCUCGUCACAUCUUUUUUGACUUAACGUUGCUUUAUAGCAUACAGAGUAACCCCCCCUCCCAACUGCCACAGCCGUAUAUACAUAAAACAUGUUUGACAAAAAUUAGACAAGCGAGAGAGAUUCUGGAUGAAAAGUACAUACUUCAUGCUUCAUCUUACUUCAACUUAGAAUGAGAAUAAAUCUGCAGCAACUUUCACAGACAUUCAGCAGUUAAUACAGUUUUCACAAUUCUGGACAUGUAGAAGUCAUCCUUUAUUUUUUCUCCAAACAGUUGGAAUGCAAUGGUGUGGCCAGGCAGCAAAUCAUAUGUGACAGUGAUUUAUGAGAGUUUAAAGACGUGAAAGGAUGACAGGAGAGUAAAACGAAUUCUUUCUUGGCCAUGUUACGAAGGUUUUUGCUCCAGCCUCAUUCCUCUUGAACACUAUCAGCUUCCUCUUAAUUCAGAGUUUUCCCCCUAUUUUAAAUGACAAAGCACAUUUCCAUUUAUCUCCAAAUUAACUUUGUACGCAUCUCUCUUAAUUAUAAUAAUGUGGAGAAAGUGUUUUAGUUUAAACAUUGCACAUAAUUAUCUGGAUGGGUUAAUAAUUAUCUGAUACACAGUAUGCAGUUAUAAAUGCUUUUUUUUUCCAACCAUCCAUCUUCAUUACUGCUUACUCAUUGCAAUCACCGUGAGCUUGCAACAUAUCCCAGGAAGCACAGAGGAAAAGGCUGCGGAACACCUCAAAUGAGAUGUCUGUCCAUAGCAGGCCACACGUUUAGAAACACAGUCACGCACUGUGGGCAAUUUAGAGAGAGAAACUCAUCCAACCGCAAGUCUUUGGACAACAGGAAGAAGCAUGUGUAACUCCAAAUAGAACUCCAGACACACAAUGCCAGAGUAGGAAGCAAACCCCAAUCCUGGAGAUGUGAGGUUGCAGUGCUACUCACUGAACUGUUAACUUCCCGUCUACUUACGCACACUAAAAAAUCUGCUCACAUUACUCCUGUCCUCCAUGAUUAGUUGCCUGUCUCUUCAAGAAUCAAAUAUAAAAUUAUCCUCAUCACCUUCAAAGCCCUUCAUGGUUUAGGUACAGUUACAAGAAGCCUCUGUCACCCCUUUUUACUAAGCUCUAUUUUGUAGACCUUAUGAGCUACAGUAUAUACUGAAACAUAUGCUCUGGGAAUGGGAGGAAUAGCUAAGCUCAAAAUAGCAUCUCGCAGAUGACCGGCGAUGAUCUACAAUCAUGCUCAUGUCGGAAGCAGUGUGUUGUGCACGAAAGACACCACCAUGUUUGCCAAAGACAAAGGGAUUUAUGUUUAAUUAGGUGACCACAAUGGCUAAAAUGCAUCUGUGUGGUGAACCAAUCCGCCAUAUGUGCAAAAAUGCACAUAAUUUACUAUGAAAAGCUUGGGGAUUCUUUGAAAGCCCAGUGAGCGUGAUUCGUGUGUUCAGGAGGUGAAAAGUUGGCAGAUCGUUAGGUAGGACAUGGAAUGAAUUACAUAACAGAAAGGCAGUCCCGACAGUUUAAGAGUCUGAUUAAUGUUUAACAAAGGAGGCGCAAGCUAAUUGACUGACGCUCGUGAAUAAAGGCAGAUUUCUUCAUAUGAAUGGGGCAGGCAAGCUACCCCUUUGAAGGGCUAAUUUCAAAAGCUGAAAACUACAGUCCAGCAGCAAAUACAGAGCUUCUCUUUUAAUGAUAGUUAAAUUGGCAAAAAAAAAAGCCUCCACCAAAUCACAAAUGGGGCAGUGCGAUGGCCAGGGCCAGUCCCACGAGGGGUAAGACAGGGAUUACCAUGCCUCAGAGAAGCUACUAAACAAACCUUUUUCUGUACAGUUGAAGGGGUAGCUGAAUGAUUUUGUAUAGCUGCUUUGAAGCUGAUGUACAUUUUAUGUACAUUUAUGCCCCAAAAGGCAAACAUCUGAAUGCAAAAUAUAACUACAAAUCAGUACCCUUUGAAGCCCCAAGAUGAUCAAAAGUAUUUAUGUGUAGAUUGAAAAGCAUGUUUUGGAAAUGUAAACCUUGAAUGAUAUAUUGGUUAAUAUAUUGGUAUUGGCCUAUAUUUGAUAAAAUUCAAGACAUCUGGAUCAGUCUGAUGUGUCAGUUUUGUCCAAUAUUUCGGGUUGAUAUUUAGACGUUAUCAAUAUUCAAAUUUAGUAGCACCACAGCUAAAGAUAUUACUAAAAUAAUGCAGAUGAUUGCGUUGAACGAUCAGCCAUUUUCCAUAGUGGAGGAUGGUGGAUUUAGUUAGCUCAUUCACCAGUUACAAGAGGUGUCAAUGCUCCGGCCUGCAAGAUGGUUUUAUAUGGCCUGCAACAUGCUUUUAAUUCAUUAUUAAAUUAAUCUUUCAUUUUACACAGAGGAUAAAAAAUUAUGUAACAUCAUUCCGCUAAUUGGUGUUGGCAAGUUUCAUUGACUGUUUUCGGUAUCGGUUAUUGGUGGCAGUCAAAAUGUUCACAUCUGUGUACCACUAGUAAAUCUAUCUAAAGGGGUGUAUGUCUCCCCCUUUCAUAAAGACAGUUCUGUACCAGAUGACUGACAACCCAUAUGUCCAAUGGAUCACAAAAAGUGGGAAGGACUCAGGGAGGGCUGGAUCCUGUCAGGUCCUUUUUGACAGAUGCUCGCUAUAAUACCAAGUUCAUUUGAUAGGACUGGGCAAAGAGGUACUGCUAACUGGCAGCACAUGGUCAUCCAGAAGAUAUCUCACCAGUUUAAGCAUACCCAGGUGUUACAUGACGCCAGGGGUCACGGAAGCCAGGGUUGCGAGCAAUCCGGGAACACAAGCCCCCAUAAGAAUCUGCCUGCAGCAUACCCGGCAUGCGGGCCUUGGCGCUGAAAGCCGACGGACAAGCAGAGUGCGCGCCAACUGUGGGGCCAGGUGGUGAGUGGCGUCAAAGUUUCUACGAUGACAGAGGACGUUUGCACUCUGCCAGGUGGCAGGAGCCCCCAAGGGAUGAAAACAGAACAAACCACCACUGCCUUGCAAAGUCACAUAGCGUGUCUGUGACUUUGUCACCAAGGAGACCAGACUUGAUGGCCCAGCGCGGGCAAAGGUGAGCCCAGUGCAAAGCAGCCAGAUGGAUGAACGCUGUGGGACAGGCUGUCCGCACCAGUGGCAUAAGAUAGGCAUUGGCCCUUGGUAUAGGGAAGAUGGGACACCUAGUGCCAGGGUUUUCCCAGUGCUUGCCUGAUGUAAGGACAGAUGAAUCACCAUCUGGGACAUAGAGUAGAAGUUCAGCCUGUGCUGAGCACAAUGGCUUCAAACUUGAGCAAACGCUGUCCCUCAAAUAUCGUCUGAUGGACUGUUCAUUUCCAUGCACCCUCAUCUUUCUGUAUAAUACGCAAGAUGACCACAGAAAUGUCAGCGAUUAUGUCAUUUGAGAGAGAGGCACAAAUGGAUUAACAGGCAGUUCAAGAGUGGAAUCUUUUUUUUUUUUUUAAAUAAAAAUAAUAAGAGAAGGGGCUGCUUUAUAUAUAGAGAGCAGCUGCAGAGAACCAAGGGCCAACAAACGAACAGCAGUGUUCAUUUAAAGGAGCACAUUAAUGACCGUUCACAUUGCAAAAACAUCUCCGCUUUGUGAAAUUGUAAAGCAUACGCAGAGAACACAAACACUGACAACAAACAGAGGCACGUGAAAAUACUGGCCUUUAACAAACAGCAAAAACCUGACCACCACGGUAAGAAUAAAGAGUAAAAACAUCAUUAGUUAACUGUUAACAAACCAUGAGCUCCCACAUCAGGCUUCAGCAUUAUCUAACGAGGUGAUUGUAGAGUGGACCCCCAAAUGAGCGGGGUUUUCAGAUGCAUACCUAAUUCUGCUGUAUUUCUCCCCAAACACAGUUUUAAUAAAUACUUAGAUAUCAGAAGAAAAACAGUGUAACUCGUGAAUGCAGAUGAAAUGAGAAAUUCAACUGCAACUUUAUUAAUGGACGGGCUUAUAUAACAAUGUUACUACUUCCUAUAACGACUGCUAUUUUGCGUUCCUAAAUGUGACACAUAUUCUUUCUGCUUUAUCUUGCACUCUGUCUUGCAAUGAAUAAAAAGAAAAUUGCCCAGAAGGAGAGAAUACCAAGCUUACAUAAAAGCAUUGUGUGGGCAACAGAAUUAAAUACACUACAGCUCCUUUAGCAGUUCCAACAAGCCCAAAGCAAAGGCGUAGGUUUGGUUUCAGCAUUUGUAGGGCCCAAAUCAACCCCGAGCCCCCUGCCCCACUAGACACACAUACAGUACUCCCACAAUAUUGGGAAGGGCACCUCCCUACCGUCCAUAGCCAAAUCUAUGCCCUUGGCCCAGAGGCAAAUCAUAAAACAGGCUGCACAGUGGAGCAGGCAUGUUAAAAUCGCACCCUUAGGCCUUAAAAUAGACAUCAGAUUCAGAAAGAAUUUGCUCUGAAUUGUGAGGGAGGGGGAACGGUAAUGUUAUGCUCGGUAAUGUCACUAAAUACGAGCUAUUGAAAUAUCACCUGUCACCCAGUUUUCAAAGUGAAGAUGCAACACAAAUGGACACAACUCAGCAUGUUCUAGCGGAAUGCGCAGCCCUUACCUUCAGUUGAAUCCUUUGCCAUAUUAACUGACCAUACCACUUAUCUUGCCCCAUUUGACUGUCAGAAUCAGAUCAUCAGACUAAAGAGCUAAGAACCAACCAUAUGUAGACAAACACUAAUUCAGUGCAGAACUUUAACCUUAAGUACUAAUUACCAAAGAUGGAAGAUUAGGAAAAAAUAACCCUGGAAUUGAACCUAUUUCAUGCC